rnacentral:rRNA from 1 species
AGACCCGAAACCCGGUGAUCUAGCCAUGGGCAGGUUGAAGGUUGGGUAACACUAACUGGAGGACCGAACCGACUAAUGUUGAAAAAUUAGCGGAUGACCUGUGGCUGGGGGUGAAAGGCCAAUCAAACCGGGAGAUAGCUGGUUCUCCCCGAAAGCUAUUUAGGUAGCGCCUCGUGAAUUCAUCUCCGGGGGUAGAGCACUGUUUCGGCUAGGGGGUCAUCCCGACUUACCAACCCGAUGCAAACUGCGAAUACCGGAGAAUGUUAUCACGGGAGACACACGGCGGGUGCUAACGUCCGUCGUGAAGAGGGAAACAACCCAGACCGCCAGCUAAGGUCCCAAAGUCAUGGUUAAGUGGGAAACGAUGUGGGAAGGCCCAGACAGCCAGGAUGUUGGCUUAGAAGCAGCCAUCAUUUAAAGAAAGCGUAAUAGCUCACUGGUCGAGUCGGCCUGCGCGGAAGAUGUAACGGGGCUAAACCAUGCACCGAAGCUGCGGCAGCGACGCUUAUGCGUUGUUGGGUAGGGGAGCGUUCUGUAAGCCUGUGAAGGUGGCCUGUGAGGGUUGCUGGAGGUAUCAGAAGUGCGAAUGCUGACAUAAGUAACGAUAAAGCGGGUGAAAAGCCCGCUCGCCGGAAGACCAAGGGUUCCUGUCCAACGUUAAUCGGGGCAGGGUGAGUCGACCCCUAAGGCGAGGCCGAAAGGCGUAGUCGAUGGGAAACGGGUUAAUAUUCCCGUACUUGGUGUUACUGCGAAGGGGGGACGGAGAAGGCUAUGUUGGCCGGGCGACGGUUGUCCCGGUUUAAGCGUGUAGGUGUGUGUUCCAGGUAAAUCCGGUUCACUUUAACACUGAGGCGUGAUGACGAGGCACUACGGUGCUGAAGCAACAAAUGCCCUGCUUCCAGGAAAAGCCUCUAAGCAUCAGGUAACAUCAAAUCGUACCCCAAACCGACACAGGUGGUCAGGUAGAGAAUACCAAGGCGCUUGAGAGAACUCGGGUGAAGGAACUAGGCAAAAUGGUGCCGUAACUUCGGGAGAAGGCACGCUGACACGUAGGUGAAGUGAUUUACUCACGGAGCUGAAGUCAGUCGAAGAUACCAGCUGGCUGCAACUGUUUAUUAAAAACACAGCACUGUGCAAACACGAAAGUGGACGUAUACGGUGUGACGCCUGCCCGGUGCCGGAAGGUUAAUUGAUGGGGUCAGCGCAAGCGAAGCUCCUGAUCGAAGCCCCGGUAAACGGCGGCCGUAACUAUAACGGUCCUAAGGUAGCGAAAUUCCUUGUCGGGUAAGUUCCGACCUGCACGAAUGGCGUAAUGAUGGCCAGGCUGUCUCCACCCGAGACUCAGUGAAAUUGAACUCGCUGUGAAGAUGCAGUGUACCCGCGGCAAGACGGAAAGACCCCGUGAACCUUUACUAUAGCUUGACACUGAACAUUGAGCCUUGAUGUGUAGGAUAGGUGGGAGGCUUUGAAGCGUGGACGCCAGUCUGCGUGGAGCCGACCUUGAAAUACCACCCUUUAAUGUUUGAUGUUCUAACGUGGACCCGUGAUCCGGGUUGCGGACAGUGUCUGGUGGGUAGUUUGACUGGGGCGGUCUCCUCCUAAAGAGUAACGGAGGAGCACGAAGGUUGGCUAAUCCUGGUCGGACAUCAGGAGGUUAGUGCAAUGGCAUAAGCCAGCUUGACUGCGAGCGUGACGGCGCGAGCAGGUGCGAAAGCAGGUCAUAGUGAUCCGGUGGUUCUGAAUGGAAGGGCCAUCGCUCAACGGAUAAAAGGUACUCCGGGGAUAACAGGCUGAUACCGCCCAAGAGUUCAUAUCGACGGCGGUGUUUGGCACCUCGAUGUCGGCUCAUCACAUCCUGGGGCUGAAGUAGGUCCCAAGGGUAUGGCUGUUCGCCAUUUAAAGUGGUACGCGAGCUGGGUUUAGAACGUCGUGAGACAGUU